rnacentral:siRNA from 1 species
UAAUGGUCCCAUGAUGUGUGU